AAACUGCUUUUGUACGGAACGAAACGGCCUUUUCUAAUAAAGAGGGCUAAUGACGGUACCGUAAGAAUAAGCACCGGCUAACUACGUGCCAGCAGCCGCGGUAAUACGUAGGGUGCGAGCGUUAAUCGGAAUUACUGGGCGUAAAGCGUGCGCAGGCGGUUCUAUAAGACAGAUGUGAAAUCCCCGGGCUCAACCUGGGAAUGGCAUUUGUGACUGUAGAGCUAGAGUACGGUAGAGGGGGAUGGAAUUCCGCGUGUAGCAGUGAAAUGCGUAGAUAUGCGGAGGAACACCGAUGGCGAAGGCAAUCCCCUGGACCUGUACUGACGCUCAUGCACGAAAGCGUGGGGAGCAAACAGGAUUAGAUACCCUGGUAGUCCACGCCCUAAACGAUGUCAACUGGUUGUUGGGUGCAUUA
rnacentral:rRNA from 1 species